AUUGAACGCUGGCGGCAGGCCUAACACAUGCAAGUCGAACGAGUGGCGGACGGGUGUGAAACGUCUGGGACACUGCCUGAUGGAGGGGGAUAACUACUGGAAACGGUAGCUAAUACCGCAUACCAUCAGAUGUGCCCAGCGGGGAUUAGCUAGUUGGUGGGGUAACGGCCCUCCAAGGCCACGAUCCCUAGCUGGUCUGAGAGGAUGACCAGCCACACGUGAACUGAGACACGGUCCAGGCGCCUACGGGAGGCAGCAGUGGGGAGUAUUGCACAAUGGGCGCAAGCCUGAUGCAGCCAUGCCGCGUGUAUGAAGAAGGCCUUCGGGUUGUAAAGUACAUUCAGCGGGGAGGCGUUACCCGCAGAAGAAGCACCGGCUAACUCCGUGCCAGCAGCCGCGGUAAUAC
rnacentral:rRNA from 1 species